rnacentral:rRNA from 1 species
GAUGAACGCUGGCGGCGUGCCUAAUACAUGCAAGUCGAGCGAAGCGGGCACGGGUGAGUAACACGUGGAUAACCUCCUAUAAGACUGGGAUAACUUCGGGGAACCGGAGCUAAACCGGAUACUUAUAGAUGGAUCCGCGCUGGAUUAGCUGGUUGGUAAGGUAACGGCUUACCAAGGCAACGAUGCAUAGCCGACCUGGGAGGGUGAUCGGGCAACACGGAACUGGAACAAGGUCCAGACCCCUACGGGAGGGAGGAGUAGGGAAACUUCCGCAAUGGGGGAAAACCUGAAGGAGGAACGCCGGGUGGGUGAUGAAGGGCUUCGGGUCGGAAAAGUCUGUUAUUAAGGAAACGGUAACUAAACAGAAAGCCACGGCUAACUACGGGCCAAGAGCCGGGGUAAUUC